rnacentral:misc_RNA from 1 species
UCAGACACAUCUUCCAGAAUAUCAGGCUUGUCAACAACAGGUUUCAUCUCUACCAUAAUUGAAUCCUUUUUCACAUUGCUUGGAUUUUCCUCUCGGAUCUUGUCAAAUACUUCUGCAUUGGAUCUUUCAUCCCUUCCUUUAUGCCUCCCUUUGCGAUUAUUCCGUUUUUGUUUUGCCUGCUUUUUCUUUGAUUUCUUUUCCUUCUCAGCUCCUCCACGUUUAGCCUUCUGCUCGCUUUCAGCUAGCCAUGCUGCCUCUUCUUC